rnacentral:rRNA from 1 species
UGAGGAAUAUUGGGCAAUGGGCGGAAGCCUGACCCAGCAACGCCGCGUGAAGGAAGACGGCCUUCGGGUUGUAAACUUCUUUUUUGGGGGAAGAGAGAGGACGGUACCCCAAGAAUAAGUCACGGCUAACUACGUGCCAGCAGCCGCGGUCAUACGUAGGUGACAAGCGUUAUCCGGAAUUACUGGGCGUAAAGCGCACGCAGGCGGUGCGUUAAGUCUGACGUGAAAUUUCCCGGCUUAACUGGGAGGGGUCGUUGGAGACUGGCGUGCUUGAGGCGAUGAGAGGGGUGUAGAAGUCCCGGUGUAGUGGUGGAAUGCGUAGAUAUCGGGAGGAAUACCAGUGGCGGAAGCGACACCCUGGCAGUAGCCUGACGCUCAGGUGCGAAGGCGUGGGGAGCGAACG